rnacentral:rRNA from 1 species
GAUGAACGCUGGCGGCGUGCUUAACACAUGCAAGUCGAACGAAGCACCUCUCCCGAAGAUUGACACAGCUUGCUGUAGAUUGAUUCAUUUGAGGUGACUGAGUGGCGGACGGGUGAGUAACGCGUGGGUAACCUGCCUCAUAGAGGGGGACAACAGUUGGAAACGACUGCUAAUACCGCAUAGUAAGAAGAAUUCGCAUGUUUUCUUCUUGAAAGAUUUAUCGCUAUGAGAUGGACCCGCGUCUGAUUAGCUAGUUGGUAAGGUAACGGCUUACCAAGGCGACGAUCAGUAGCCGGCUUGGGAGAGUGAACGGCCACAUUGGGACUGAGACACGGCCCAAACUCCUACGGGAGGCAGCAGUGGGGAAUAUUGCACAAUGGGGGAAACCCUGAUGCAGCGACGCCGCGUGAGUGAAGAAGUAUUUCGGUAUGUAAAGCUCUAUCAGCAGGGAAGAUAAUGACGGUACCUGACUAAGAAGCCCCGGCUAACUACGU